rnacentral:rRNA from 1 species
UACGUAGGGGGCGAGCGUUAUCCAGAUUUACUUGGCGUAAAGAGCGUGUAGGCGGCUUGGUACGUCCGCUGUGAAAGUCCAGGGCUCAACCCUGGAAUGCCGGUGGAAACUGUCAAGCUUGAGUCCGGAAGAGGCGAGUGGAAUUCCUGGUGUAGCGGUGAAAUGCGUAGAGAUGCGGAGGAACACCGAUGGCGAAGGCAGCCCCCUGGGCUAGCACUGACGCUCAGGCACGAAAGCGUGGGGAGCAAACAGG